AUCCCUUAAUGGGGUUUAUUUUGAUCCAUUUUUUAAUUGAGGUUUCUCAUUGGUUCGAUUAAUGAUCAACGGAUAGAUCUAAUUUGGGUCUGAAUUUGAUCCUUUAUUUGAUUUUCACAAAUCAAUCUGCACCGCACGUUGAUAAUUGUGAGGAAACAAGUCCAAAAAAUAGACUUGUCCCACAUCGAUGUGGUUAGGGUCUGAAGGAUUUGGGGGUUUCUAUAUAAAUGGACCCUAAGUUACAUUGUUAGACACCUUUUGACAGAGUAUUCACAUAUAUUCACUCAUAUACUCAAAAUAGCUAAACUUUAGGGCUUUUAGCUUUAAAUUUUAAGAGUUCGAGUUAGUAAAAUUUUAAAGUUUUAUCCUCUAUUUUCUUGUGUGGGUUAUGUGUUCUUGAGCAUUUGGGGUGGAUUAUUGAAGCUUCCAGGUCCAACUCUCUUCACAAUUGCGCACAAAAGAGAUUUUGGGCGAAACGGGAAUUGAAUUUGAGCGAGCGUAACGUGCAGCUAAGGUACAGACUCACGUUUUGGUGACCCACUGGCGUAGGGUUUCCAUUCUGCGGUUCGGAGUGCUCCCUUUGUUCCGGAGCCGACAUUUUGGGUACAUACUCUUCCGAUGUAUAUGCUUAUGUUUAUUCAGG